GGGCCCUUCGCCCAGAUGGCCAGGGAAUCCGGUUCAUAACCGGACGGUCGCAGGUUCGAAUCCUGCAGGGCCCA
rnacentral:tRNA from 1 species